AUUGAACGCUGGCGGCAGGCCUAACACAUGCAAGUCGAGCGAGCGGCGGACGGGUGAGUAAUGUCUGUGAGACUGCCUGAUGGGGGGGGCUUACUACUGGGAACGGUAGCUAAUACUGCAUACCAUCAGACGUGCCCAGAUGUGGUUAGCUAGUAGGUGGGGUAACGGCGCACCUAGGCGACGAUCCCUAGCUGGUCUGAGAGGAUGACCAGCCACACUGGAACUGAGACACGGUCCAGACUCCUACGGGAGGCAGCAGUGGGGAAUAUUGCACAAUGGGCGCAAGCCUGAUGCAGCCAUGCCGCGUGUGUGAAGAAGGCCUUCGGGUUGUAAAGCACUUUCAGCGGGGAGGCGUUACCCGCAGAAGAAGCACCGGCUAACUCUGUGCCAGCCGCCGCGGUAAUUC
rnacentral:rRNA from 1 species